rnacentral:misc_RNA from 1 species
AAAAACAAGGUGGAUCACAAAGAUCGCUUCAAUGUUCAUCCCACGCCGCAUGAGCGACGUAUGACGAAAAGAGACAUCAUAAAACCCACACGUUACCAUCGAUUAGGUAUGCAACACAAGAAACCCACAAUAUGCUCAAGACAAAGCAAGUCUUGCCGCAAAACUGAAGAGGUAUGCACGCGUGGACGUUGCUGCGCAAGCAGACAGCCAACCACCCGUAACAAACCAAACACCACUCAUGCACCUCCCCGGUCAACAUUCCCGAAAACCGCCCGACUAGUAGCGACCCACCCAACCAAAAGGCCAAGCAAGCAACCA